GACGAACGCUGGCGGCGUGCCUAAUACAUGCAAGUCGAACGCUGAAGGAGGAGCUUGCUUCUCUGGAUGAGUUGCGAACGGGUGAGUAACGCGUAGGUAACCUGCCUGGUAGCGGGGGAUAACUAUUGGAAACGAUAGCUAAUACCGCAUAAUAUUGACUAUUGCAUGAUAGUCAGUUGAAAGGUGCAACUGCACCACUACCAGAUGGACCUGCGUUGUAUUAGCUAGUUGGUGGGGUAACGGCUCACCAAGGCGACGAUACAUAGCCGACCUGAGAGGGGGAUCGGCCACACUGGGACUGAGACACGGCCCAGACUCCUACGGGAGGCAGCAGUAGGGAAUCUUCGGCAAUGGACGGAAGUCUGACCGAGCAACGCCGCGUGAGUGAAGAAGGUUUUCGGAUCGUAAAGCUCUGUUGUAAGAGAAGAACGAGUGUGAGAGUGGAAAGCUCACACUGUGACGGUAUCUUACCAGAAAGGGACGGCUAACUACGUG
rnacentral:rRNA from 1 species